GUCAUUGCUAGAGUUCAUUUUCAUCGUGGCGAUUGCUGGAAGAAGACAACGAGACGUCGUCGAACACGGACGAGCGGGCCUGACCCUUCGCUGCCUGUAGAGAACAUGCGUCACCUGGUGCGGAUAAAAUCAUAUGGAGGCCACAAGAUAUUAUAUCAAGCAAAUUGUUGAGUAUCGAAUGGCCAAAUAUCGAGUGAAAAUUGAACACUGACUCACUUCACCGGGAAUCGCUCUGAAAAUAAUUUAAAAAGUUCUUUCAACUACUGCUGCUCUGCACACUGACGCCUUCACCAGGAAUCGCUCUGAAAAUAA